GUAGGUAUAGCUCAGUGGUGGAGUGUAUGCUUAGCAUGCACAAGGUCCUGGGUUCCAUCCCCAGUACCUCCA
rnacentral:tRNA from 1 species